rnacentral:rRNA from 1 species
GACGUAGGUGGCAAGCGUUGUUCGGAAUCACUGGGCAUAAAGCGCACGUAGGCGGCCAAGUAAAUCAGGUGUGAAAUACCUCGGCUCAACCGAGGAACUGCGCCUGAUACUGCUUGGCUUGAGGUCCGGAGGGGAGAGUGGAAUUCCCGGUGGGAGCGGUGAAAUGCGUAGAGAUCGGGAAGAACGCCGGCGGCGAAGGCAGGUCUCUGGGCAUUAACUGACGCUGAGGAGCGAAAGCAUGGGGAGCGAACAGG